CCCAUAGGUUCCAUUCUAUCUGGUAGUGAGAUAUAUUGUGAUCUUUAUCACAAUAUCAUCGAAACUCUUUUCGAUAGAUCAGAAUAUUUUUAAUUCUACCCUUCGAGGACCAUCGAUCAUCAAGAUGACACCCGAUGAGUCUCAUAAUCCACCAGUGACACCUAGCAGUAUAUAGUGACAACCCAGUAUGAUGAAAGUAUGAAUCUUUAGGUGCAGUUAUCAUAUAAUUUAGUCCUUCUAU
rnacentral:lncRNA from 1 species